rnacentral:rRNA from 1 species
UACGAAGGGGGCUAGCGUUGCUCGGAAUUACUGGGCGUAAAGCGCACGUAGGCGGAUUGUUAAGUCGGUGGUGAAAUCCUGGAGCUCAACUCCAGAACUGCCUUCGAAACUGGCAAUCUUGAGUCCGGGAGAGGUGAGUGGAAGUGCGAGUGUAGAGGUGAAAUGCGUAGAUAGUCGGAAGAACACCAGUGGCGAAGGCGGCUCACUGGACCGGUACUGACGCUGAGGUGCGAAAGCGUGGGGAGCAAACAGG